AAGCUCGUAGUUGAAUUUCGGGAUUAGUACGUCGGUCGUGCCUUAGGUACGUACUGGUGUUACUGGUUCCUACCUUCUGACGAACCAUCAUGUCAUUAAUUUGGUGUGGUGGGGAAUCAGGACAUUUACUUUGAAAAAACUUAGAGUGUUUAAACGCAGGCUCGCGCUUGAAUACAUUAGCAUGGAAUAAUGAAAUAGGACGUUGAUCCUAUUUUGUUGGUUUCUAGGAUUGACGUAAUGAUUAAUAGGGAUGUUGGG
rnacentral:rRNA from 1 species